GAUGAACGCUGGCGGCGUGCCUAAUACAUGCAAGUCGAGCGAACAGAUAAGGAGCUUGCUCCUUUGACGUUAGCGGCGGACGGGUGAGUAACACGUGGAUAACCUACCUAUAAGACUGGGAUAACUUCGGGAAACCGGAGCUAAUACCGGAUAACAUAUUGAACCGCAUGGUUCAAUAGUGAAAGGCGGCUUUGCUGUCACUUAUAGAUGGAUCCGCGCCGUAUUAGCUAGUUGGUAAGGUAACGGCUUACCAAGGCAACGAUACGUAGCCGACCUGAGAGGGUGAUCGGACACACUGGAACUGAGACACGGUCCAGACUCCUACGGGAGGCAGCAGUAGGGAAUCUUCCGCAAUGGGCGAAAGCCUGACGGAGCAACGCCGCGUGAGUGAUGAAGGUCUUCGGAUCGUAAAACUCUGUUAUCAGGGAAGAACAAAUGUGUAAGUACCUGUGCACAUCUUGACGGUACCUGAUCAGAAAGCCACGGCUAACUACGUG
rnacentral:rRNA from 1 species